AUUGAACGCUGGCGGCAGGCCUAACACAUGCAAGUCGAACGAGUGGCGGACGGGUGAGUAAUGUCUGGGAAACUGCCUGAUGGAGGGGGAUAACUACUGGAAACGGUAGCUAAUACCGCAUCCCAUCAGAUGUUCCCCGAUGGGAUUAGCUAGUAGGUGAGGUAACGGCUCACCUAGGCGACGAUCCCUAGCUGGUCUGAGAGGAUGAUCAGCCAACCUGGGACGGAGACACGGCCCAGACUCCUACGGGAGGCAGCAGUGGGGAAUAUUGCACAAUGGGCGCAAGCCUGAUGCAGCCAUGCCGCGUGUAUGAAGAAGGCCUUCGGGUUGUAAAGUACUUUCAGUCGGGAGGCGUUACCGACAGAAGAAGCACCGGCUAACUCCGUGCCAGCAGCCGCGGUAAUAC
rnacentral:rRNA from 1 species